rnacentral:rRNA from 1 species
UACGUAGGGUGCGAGCGUUUAAUCGGAAUUACUGGGCGUAAAGCGUGCGUAGGCGGUUCGUUAAGUCAGCUGUGAAAGCCCCGGGCUCAACCUGGGAACUGCGGUUGAAACUGGCGAACUAGAAUCUGGCAGAGGGGGGUGGAAUUCCACGUGUAGCAGUGAAAUGCGUAGAGAUGUGGAGGAACACCGAUGGCGAAGGCAGCCCCCUGGGCUGAGAUUGACGCUCAGGCACGAAAGCGUGGGGAGCAAACAGG